UGCGUGACGAGAGCGUUACGGAAAGUGUGAUCGGUAGAGGCGAACGGAAAUAUAAGUUAGUGAAGAUAGAAAGAGAGACUUACUUUUCGUAUAUACGAAAAAAUAAAAUAUAAUAUAAAAUAUAAAUAUGUCAGCAAUAGCACUGUCGUACGCAAUUAGUAAGGAAUUUAUAAACAACAGAUGCACAUCGUUCGAUAGUCAACUACCCUCACUUAUUAUAUUACUCGAGUUAUUCUGACGUGUAU
rnacentral:misc_RNA from 1 species